UACGUAGGGGGCUAGCGUUGCUCGGAAUCACUGGGCGUAAAGCGCACGUAGGCGGAUUGUUAAGUUAGGGGUGAAAUCCUGGAGCUCAACUCCAGAACUGCCUUUGAUACUGGCGAUCUUGAGUCCGGGAGAGGUGAGUGGAACUGCGAGUGUAGAGGUGAAAUUCGUAGAUAUUCGCAAGAACACCAGUGGCGAAGGCGGCUCACUGGCCCGGUACUGACGCUGAGGUGCGAAAGCGUGGGGAGCAAACAGG
rnacentral:rRNA from 1 species